rnacentral:rRNA from 1 species
UACGAAGGGGGCUAGCGUUGCUCGGAAUCACUGGGCGUAAAGCGCACGUAGGCGGGUUCUUAAGUCAGGGGUGAAAUCCUGGAGCUCAACUCCAGAACUGCCUUUGAUACUGGCAACCUAGAGACUGGAAGAGGUUAGUGGAAUUCCCAGUGUAGAGGUGAAAUUCGUAGAUAUUGGGAAGAACACCAGUGGCGAAGGCGGCUAACUGGUCCAGCACUGACGCUGAGGUGCGAAAGCGUGGGGAGCAAACAGG